rnacentral:misc_RNA from 1 species
AACGCAUCUUGCGCUCCCCGGCAUUCCGAGGAGCAUGCCUGUUUGAGUGUCGUGAAGUCUCUCAACCUCCCCUCCUUUGCGGGUCGGGAACGUUGGAUUUGGACGUUUGCCGAGGCCUUUGCGGGUCGCGGCUCGUCUCUAAAUGCAUUAGCCGUUUCCUUCGGGUCCGCAAAAGCGGUGUGAUAAGUUUUUUCUUUUUCGCCGUGCGGCCCGAAGCGCGAUCGCUUCCAACGGUCUCCGGACAGAAUGUUUUUGCGUUUGACCUCAAAUCAGGCAGGACUACCCGCCGAACUUAA